UCGGGAAUAUUGCCCAAUGGCCGAAAGGCUGAGGCAGCAACGCCGCGUGCGGGAUGACGGCCUUCGGGUUGUAAACCGCUUUUCGGGCGGACGAGGAAGGACGGUACGCCCGGAAUAAGGUGCGGCUAACUACGUGCCAGCAGCCGCGGUAAAACGUAGGCACCAAGCGUUAUCCGGAUUUACUGGGCGUAAAGCGCGGUCAGGCGGCCGACCAAGUCGGGCAUGAAAGCGCACGGCUCAACCGUGCGAGGCUGUCCGAUACUGGCCGGCUUGAGGGCAGGAGAGGGUGGUGGAAUUCCGGGUGUAGUGGUGAAAUGCGUAGAGAUCCGGAGGAACACCAGUGGCGAAGGCGGCCACCUGGCCUGCCCCUGACGCUGCCCCGCGACAGCUCGGGGAGCGAACGGGAUUAGAAACCCCGGUAGUCCGAGCCGUAAACGAUGUGGACUGGGUGUCGGGAGUCACAAACUCUCGGUGCCGUAGCCAACGCGAUAAGUCCACCGCCUGGGGACUACGGCCGCAAGGUUAA
rnacentral:rRNA from 1 species